UACGUAGGGCGCAAGCGUUGUCCGGAAUUAUUGGGCGUAAAGAGCUCGUAGGCGGCCUGUUGCGUCCGCUGUGAAAUCUCGGGGCUCAACCCCGGGCGUGCAGUGGAUACGGGCUGGCUGGAGGCAGGCAGGGGAGAACGGAAUUCCUGGUGUAGCGGUGAAAUGCGCAGAUAUCAGGAGGAACACCGGUGGCGAAGGCGGUUCUCUGGGCCUGUACUGACGCUGAGGAGCGAAAGCGUGGGGAGCGAACAGG
rnacentral:rRNA from 1 species